UCAAAUUGGGAAGUCCUGAGAAAAGGAGCAGGAAGAAAAUGAAAUAAACCUCCAGAUACAGUGGAAAAGAGGUUAUGUCUACAUGAAGAAAUGUGCUAAGAAGACUAUAAAUUUCUAAAACUUUUCUAUCACCUCAAGCAGAAACUCUGUAACCACUUUCCAAAAAGUGUUCUUAAGACUUUGCAGUGUCCCAAGAGUGACAAAUUCAUGGCAAAUUUUGACUGUUUUGUCAAAGCUGGUCAAACAGCACAAAGUUUCCUUUCUGAAGACCUCCUGGAGCUGACACAGAAAGGUAGUAACCUGACAGCUUGUUUGGAGCACCAUGCCCAGCAUCACACAAGUAGUGAGGAGCAGUUAUGGAAAUUUGAGAACUACGUAAGAGGUGGAAAAAGAAAUGGAGGUACAAACCAUGUAUAAGCCAAAGAGACAGCUUGUACUUAUUUCUUCACUGCUCAGAGAAAAAUAUUAUCCAAGAUCAAUGGAGUGGGCACUUGCAAUGACAGAAUUCUGUCAAUACCAACUGGUGGAGUGU